rnacentral:rRNA from 1 species
GACGUAGGGCGCGAGCGUUGUCCGGAUUUAUUGGGCGUAAAGAGCUCGUAGGCGGUUUGUCGCGUCGAAUGUGAAAACCCGGGGCUCAACUCCGGGCUUGCAUUCGAUACGGGCAGGCUAGAGUUCGGUAGGGGAGUCUGGAAUUCCUGGUGUAGCGGUGAAAUGCGCAGAUAUCAGGAGGAACACCGGUGGCGAAGGCGGGACUCUGGGCCGAUACUGACGCUGAGGAGCGAAAGCGUGGGGAGCGAACAGG